ensembl:piRNA 21ur-7584 ncRNA
UUUAAGGAUUGAAGGUAUUUU